rnacentral:rRNA from 1 species
UUAAGCGACUAAGCGUACACGGUGGAUGCCCUGGCAGUCAGAGGCGAUGAAGGACGUGCUAAUCUGCGAUAAGCGUCGGUAAGGUGAUAUGAACCGUUAUAACCGGCGAUUUCCGAAUGGGGAAACCCAGUGUGUUUCGACACACUAUCAUUAACUGAAUCCAUAGGUUAAUGAGGCGAACCGGGGGAACUGAAACAUCUAAGUAUCCCGAGGAAAAGAAAUCAACCGAGAUUCCCCCAGUAGCGGCGAGCGAACGGGGAGGAGCCCAGAGCCUGAAUCAGUGUGUGUGUUAGUGGAAGCGUCUGGAAAGGCGCGCGAUACAGGGUGACAGCCCCGUACACAAAAAUGCACAUGCUGUGAGCUCGAUGAGUAGGGCGGGACACGUGGUAUCCUGUCUGAAUAUGGGGGGACCAUCCUCCAAGGCUAAAUACUCCUGACUGACCGAUAGUGAACCAGUACCGUGAGGGAAAGGCGAAAAGAACCCCGGCGAGGGGAGUGAAAAAGAACCUGAAACCGUGUACGUACAAGCAGUGGGAGCACGCUUAGGCGUGUGACUGCGUACCUUUUGUAUAAUGGGUCAGCGACUUAUAUUCUGUAGCAAGGUUAACCGAAUAGGGGAGCCGAAGGGAAACCGAGUCUUAACUGGGCGUUAAGUUGCAGGGUAUAGACCCGAAACCCGGUGAUCUAGCCAUGGGCAGGUUGAAGGUUGGGUAACACUAACUGGAGGACCGAACCGACUAAUGUUGAAAAAUUAGCGGAUGACUUGUGGCUGGGGGUGAAAGGCCAAUCAAACCGGGAGAUAGCUGGUUCUCCCCGAAAGCUAUUUAGGUAGCGCCUCGUGAANNNNNNNNNNNNNNNNNNNNNNNNNNNNNNNNNNNNNNNNNNNNNNNNUCAUCUCCGGGGGUAGAGCACUGUUUCGGCAAGGGGGUCAUCCCGACUUACCAACCCGAUGCAAACUGCGAAUACCGGAGAAUGUUAUCACGGGAGACACACGGCGGGUGCUAACGUCCGUCGUGAAGAGGGAAACAACCCAGACCGCCAGCUAAGGUCCCAAAGUCAUGGUUAAGUGGGAAACGAUGUGGGAAGGCCCAGACAGCCAGGAUGUUGGCUUAGAAGCAGCCAUCAUUUAAAGAAAGCGUAAUAGCUCACUGGUCGAGUCGGCCUGCGCGGAAGAUGUAACGGGGCUAAACCAUGCACCGAAGCUGCGGCAGCGACGCUGAUGCGUUGUUGGGUAGGGGAGCGUUCUGUAAGCCUGCGAAGGUGUGCUGUGAGGCAUGCUGGAGGUAUCAGAAGUGCGAAUGCUGACAUAAGUAACGAUAAAGCGGGUGAAAAGCCCGCUCGCCGGAAGACCAAGGGUUCCUGUCCAACGUUAAUCGGGGCAGGGUGAGUCGACCCCUAAGGCGAGGCCGAAAGGCGUAGUCGAUGGGAAACAGGUUAAUAUUCCUGUACUUGGUGUUACUGCGAAGGGGGGACGGAGAAGGCUAUGUUGGCCGGGCGACGGUUGUCCCGGUUUAAGCGUGUAGGCUGGUUUUCCAGGCAAAUCCGGAAAAUCAAGGCUGAGGCGUGAUGACGAGGCACUACGGUGCUGAAGCAACAAAUGCCCUGCUUCCAGGAAAAGCCUCUAAGCAUCAGGUAACAUCAAAUCGUACCCCAAACCGACACAGGUGGUCAGGUAGAGAAUACCAAGGCGCUUGAGAGAACUCGGGUGAAGGAACUAGGCAAAAUGGUGCCGUAACUUCGGGAGAAGGCACGCUGAUAUGUAGGUGAGGUCCCUCGCGGAUGGAGCUGAAAUCAGUCGAAGAUACCAGCUGGCUGCAACUGUUUAUUAAAAACACAGCACUGUGCAAACACGAAAGUGGACGUAUACGGUGUGACGCCUGCCCGGUGCCGGAAGGUUAAUUGAUGGGGUUAGCGCAAGCGAAGCUCUUGAUCGAAGCCCCGGUAAACGGCGGCCGUAACUAUAACGGUCCUAAGGUAGCGAAAUUCCUUGUCGGGUAAGUUCCGACCUGCACGAAUGGCGUAAUGAUGGCCAGGCUGUCUCCACCCGAGACUCAGUGAAAUUGAACUCGCUGUGAAGAUGCAGUGUACCCGCGGCAAGACGGAAAGACCCCGUGAACCUUUACUAUAGCUUGACACUGAACAUUGAGCCUUGAUGUGUAGGAUAGGUGGGAGGCUUUGAAGUGUGGACGCCAGUCUGCAUGGAGCCGACCUUGAAAUACCACCCUUUAAUGUUUGAUGUUCUAACGUGGACCCGUAAUCCGGGUUGCGGACAGUGUCUGGUGGGUAGUUUGACUGGGGCGGUCUCCUCCUAAAGAGUAACGGAGGAGCACGAAGGUUGGCUAAUCCUGGUCGGACAUCAGGAGGUUAGUGCAAUGGCAUAAGCCAGCUUGACUGCGAGCGUGACGGCGCGAGCAGGUGCGAAAGCAGGUCAUAGUGAUCCGGUGGUUCUGAAUGGAAGGGCCAUCGCUCAACGGAUAAAAGGUACUCCGGGGAUAACAGGCUGAUACCGCCCAAGAGUUCAUAUCGACGGUGGUGUUUGGCACCUCGAUGUCGGCUCAUCACAUCCUGGGGCUGAAGUAGGUCCCAAGGGUAUGGCUGUUCGCCAUUUAAAGUGGUACGCGAGCUGGGUUUAGAACGUCGUGAGACAGUUCGGUCCCUAUCUGCCGUGGGCGCUGGAGAACUGAGGGGGGCUGCUCCUAGUACGAGAGGACCGGAGUGGACGCAUCACUGGUGUUCGGGUUGUCAUGCCAAUGGCACUGCCCGGUAGCUAAAUGCGGAAGAGAUAAGUGCUGAAAGCAUCUAAGCACGAAACUUGCCCCGAGAUGAGUUCUCCCUGACUCCUUGAGAGUCCUGAAGGAACGUUGAAGACGACGACGUUGAUAGGCCGGGUGUGUAAGCGCAGCGAUGCGUUGAGCUAACCGGUACUAAUGAACCGUGAGGCUUAACCUU